CCGUGCUGUCGCCUGACGGGCAUUCUCUGGCGUGUUAGCGGAUAGACCGAAAAAUCAAGAAAGAUGUCUAAGCAACAACCAACCCAGUUUAUAAAUCCAGAAACUCCUGGCUAUGUUGGAUUUGCAAAUCUCCCCAAUCAAGUUCACCGAAAAUCAGUGAAGAAGGGGUUCGAGUUCACUCUGAUGGUGGUCGGUGAAUCUGGUCUAGGAAAAUCAACUCUCAUAAACAGCUUAUUCUUGACCGAUCUCUACCCAGAAAGAAUUAUUCCUGGAGCUGCAGAAAAAAUCGAAAGAACUGUCCAGAUAGAGGCUUCGACAGUUGAAAUCGAAGAGCGGGGUGUCAAGCUGCGGCUUACAGUAGUGGACACGCCUGGCUAUGGGGAUGCCAUCAACUCCAGGGAUUGGUAUGAAUUCAGAGAGGGUGAAG
rnacentral:lncRNA from 1 species